rnacentral:rRNA from 1 species
AACGCUAGCUACAGGCUUAACACAUGCAAGUCGAGGGGUAGCAGGGUAGCAAUAUCGCUGACGACCGGCGCACGGGUGAGUAACACGUAUCCAACCUUCCCAUAACUCGGGGAUAGCCUUUCGAAAGAAAGAUUAAUACCGGAUAGCAUACGAAUAUCGCAUGAUAUUUCUAUUAAAGAAUUUCGGUUAUCGAUGGGGAUGCGUUCCAUUAGUUUGUUGGCGGGGUAACGGCCCACCAAGACUACGAUGGAUAGGGGUUCUGAGAGGAAGGUCCCCCACAUUGGAACUGAGACACGGUCCAAACUCCUACGGGAGGCAGCAGUGAGGAAUAUUGGUCAAUGGGCGAGAGCCUGAACCAGCCAAGUAGCGUGAAGGAUGAAGGCUCUAUGGGUCGUAAACUUCUUUUAUAUGGGAAUAAAGUUUUCCACGUGUGGAAUUUUGUAUGUACCAUAUGAAUAAGGAUCGGCUAACUCCGUGCCAGCAGCCGCGGUAAUACGGAGGAUCCGAGCGUUAUCCGGAUUUAUUGGGUUUAAAGGGAGCGUAGGUGGAUUGUUAAGUCAGUUGUGAAAGUUUGCGGCUCAACCGUAAAAUUGCAGUUGAAACUGGCAGUCUUGAGUACAGUAGAGGUGGGCGGAAUUCGUGGUGUAGCGGUGAAAUGCUUAGAUAUCACGAAGAACUCCGAUUG